GUGCAGCAGUCGCGAAUACUCCGCAAUGCUCGAAAGAGUGACGGGGGAUUCCAAGUGCCUACGCUCAGCGUAGGCUGUUCAGAUGCCUAAAAAGCAUCUGGAGUAAGGGCUGGGUAAGACGGGUGCCAGCCGCCGCGGUAAUACCCGCAGCUCGAGUGGUAGUCGAUUUUAUUGGGCCUAAAGCGUCCGUAUCCGGUCUGGUAAAUGCUUGGGUAAAUCGUGGGGCUCAACCCUACGAAUUCCGGGUAGACUGCCAGACUUGGGGACCGGUUGAGGAAGAGGGUACUUCAGGGGUAGGAGUGAAAUCCCGUAAUCCUUGAAGGACCACCAGUGGCGAAGGCGCUCUUCUAGGACGGGUCCGACGGUGAGGGGACGAAAGCCAGGGGAGCAAACCGGAUUAGAUACCCGUGUAGUCU
rnacentral:rRNA from 1 species